GCAAGUCGAACGGAAACAUGUCUAGCUUGCUAGAUGAUGUCGAGUGGCGGACGGGUGAGUAAUGCUUGGGAACUUGCCUUUGCGAGGGGGAUAACAGUUGGAAACGACUGCUAAUACCGCAUAAUGUCUUCGGACCAAACGGGGCUUCGGCUCCGGCGCAAAGAGAGGCCCAAGUGAGAUCAGCUAGUUGGUGAGGUAAAGGCUCACCAAGGCAACGAUCUCUAGCUGUUCUGAGAGGAAGAUCAGCCACACUGGGACUGAGACACGGCCCAGACUCCUACGGGAGGCAGCAGUGGGGAAUAUUGCACAAUGGGGGAAACCCUGAUGCAGCCAUGCCGCGUGUGUGAAGAAGGCCUUCGGGUUGUAAAGCACUUUCAGUUGUGAGGAAAAGUUAGUAGUUAAUACCUGCUAGCCGUGACGCUAACAACAGAAGAAGCACCGGCUAACUCCGUGCCAGCAGCCGCGGUAAUACGGAGGGUGCGAGCGUUAAUCGGAAUUACUGGGCGUAAAGCGCACGCAGGCGGUUUGUUAAGCUAGAUGUGAAAGCCCCGGGCUCAACCUGGGACGGUCAUUUAGAACUGGCAGACUAGAGUCUUGGAGAGGGGAGUGGAAUUCCAGGUGUAGCGGUGAAAUGCGUAGAUAUCUGGAGGAACAUCAGUGGCGAAGGCGACUCCCUGGCCAAAGACUGACGCUCAUGUGCGAAAGUGUGGGUAGCGAACAGGAUUAGAUACCCUGGUAGUCCACACCGUAAACGCUGUCUACUAGCUGUUUGUGGCUUUAAGCCGUGAGUAGCGAAGCUAACGCG
rnacentral:rRNA from 1 species